rnacentral:rRNA from 1 species
GAUGAACGCUGGCGGCGUGCCUAAUACAUGCAAGUCGAGCGAACGGACGAGAAGCUUGCUUCUCUGAUGUUAGCGGCGGACGGGUGAGUAACACGUGGAUAACCUACCUAUAAGACUGGGAUAACUUCGGGAAACCGGAGCUAAUACCGGAUAAUAUUUUGAACCGCAUGGUUCAAAAGUAAAAGACGGUCUUGCUGUCACUUAUAGAUGGAUCCGCGCUGCAUUAGCUAGUUGGUAAGGUAACGGCUUACCAAGGCAACGAUGCAUAGCCGACCUGAGAGGGUGAUCGGCCACACUGGAACUGAGACACGGUCCAGACGCCUACGGGAGGCAGCAGUAGGGAAUCUUCCGCAAUGGGCGGAAGACUGACGGAGCAACGCCGCGGGAGGGAUGAAGGUCUUCGGAUCGUAAUACUCUGUUAUUAGGGAAGAACAUAUGUGUAAGUAACUGUGCACAUCUUGACGGUACCUAAUCAGAAAGCCACGGCUAACUACGUG